CACGUAGGGGGCGAGCGUUGUCCGGAAUUACUGGGCGUAAAGGGCGCGUAGGCGGCCUUCUAAGUCGAACGUGAAAUCCCUGGGCUCAACCCAGGAACUGCGUCCGAUACUGGAAGGCUUGAAUCCGGGAGAGGGAUGCGGAAUUCCAGGUGUAGCGGUGAGAUGCGUAGAUAUCUGGAGGAACACCGGUGGCGAAAGCGGCUCACUGGACCGUCACUGACGCUGAGGUGCGAAAGCUAGGGUAGCAAACGGG
rnacentral:rRNA from 1 species